rnacentral:rRNA from 1 species
GUAGGUUGCAAGCGUUGUCCGGAUUUACUGGGUGUAAAGGGCGUGUAGGCGGAGAUGCAAGUCGGGAGUGAAAUCCAUGGGCUCAACCCAUGAACUGCUUUCGAAACUGUAUCCCUUGAGUAUCGGAGAGGCAAGCGGAAUUCCUAGUGUAGCGGUGAAAUGCGUAGAUAUUAGGAGGAACACCAGUGGCGAAGGCGGCUUGCUGGACGACAACUGACGCUGAGGCGCGAAAGCGUGGGGAGCAAACAGGAUUAGAUACCCUGGUAGUCCACGCUGUAAACGAUGAAUACUAGGUGUGGGAGGACUGACCCCUUCCGUGCCGCAGUUAACACAAUAAGUAUUCCACCUGGGGAGU